UGCAGUCGAACGGGCACCUUCGGGUGUCAGUGGCAGACGGGUGAGUAACGCGUGGGAACGUACCUUUCGGUUCGGAAUAACCCAGGGAAACUUGGGCUAAGACCGGAUACGCCGGAAACGGGAAAGAUUUAUCGCCGAAAGAUCGGCCCGCGUCGGAUUAGCUAGUUGGUGGGGUAAUGGCCUACCAAGGCGACGAUCCGUAGCUGGUCUGAGAGGAUGAUCAGCCACACUGGGACUGAGACACGGCCCAGACUCCUACGGGAGGCAGCAGUGGGGAAUAUUGGACAAUGGGCGCAAGCCUGAUCCAGCCAUGCCGCGUGAGGUGAAGGAGGCCUUUAGGGGUUGUAAAGCUCUUUCGUUUGGGGAAGAUUAAUGACGGGUACCCCAAAGAAAAAACCCCCGGGUUAACUUCUUGCCCAGCAGCCGCGGGAAUACGAAGGGGGGCUAGCGUUGGUUCGGGAAUUACU
rnacentral:rRNA from 1 species